UGGGGAAUAUUGCGCAAUGGGCGAAAGCCUGACGCAGCGACGCCGCGUGAGGGAUGAAGGUUUUCGGAUCGUAAACCUCUGUCAGAAGGGAAGAAACCGCACUGUGCUAAUCAGCAGUGCCUUGACGGUACCUUCAAAGUAAGCACCGGCUAACUCCGUGCCAGCAGCCGCGGUAAUACGGAGGGUGCAAGCGUUAAUCGGAAUUACUGGGCGUAAAGCGCACGUAGGCUGCUUUGUAAGUCAGGGGUGAAAUCCCACGGCUCAACCGUGGAACUGCCUUUGAUACUGCUUAGCUUGAAUCCGGGAGAGGGUGGCGGAAUUCCAGGUGUAGGAGUGAAAUCCGUAGAUAUCUGGAGGAACAUCAGUGGCGAAGGCGGCCACCUGGACCGGUAUUGACGCUGAGGUGCGAAAGCGUGGGGAGCAAACAGG
rnacentral:rRNA from 1 species